rnacentral:rRNA from 1 species
UACGGGGGGGGGCAAGCGUUGUUCGGAAUUACUGGGCGUAAAGGGCUCGUAGGCGGCCAACUAAGUCGGAUGUGAAAUCCCCAGGCUCAACCUGGGAACUGCAUCCGAUACUGGAUGGCUUGAAUUCGGGAGAGGGAUGCAGAAUUCCCAGUGUAGCGGUGAAAUGCGUAGAUAUUGGGAAGAACACCGGUGGCGAAAGCGCUCUACUGGGCCUGAACUGACACUGAGGGACGAAAGCUAGGGGAGCGAAAGGGAUUAGGAAAACCCCGGUA